UACGGAGGGUCCGAGCGUUGUCCGGAAUUACUGGGCGUAAAGAGCUCGUAGGUGGUUUGUCGCGUUGUUCGUGAAAACUCACAGCUCAACUGUGGGCGUGCGGGCGAUACGGGCAGACUAGAGUACUGCAGGGGAGACUGGAAUUCCUGGUGUAGCGGUGGAAUGCGCAGAUAUCAGGAGGAACACCGGUGGCGAAGGCGGGUCUCUGGGCAGUAACUGACGCUGAGGAGCGAAAGCGUGGGGAGCGAACAGG
rnacentral:rRNA from 1 species